rnacentral:tRNA from 1 species
GGUUUCGUAGCUCAGCUGAUAGAGCGGUUGCCACGUCUUAGCAUACUGUUUCUGUCGCUGGUUCGAAUCCAGCCGAAGUCU